rnacentral:rRNA from 1 species
AUUGAACGCUGGCGGAAUGCUUUACACAUGCAAGUCGAGCGGCAGCGCGGGGGCAACCCUGGCGGCGAGCGGCGAACGGGUGAGUAAUACAUCGGAACGUGUCCUUAAGUGGGGGAUAGCUCGGCGAAAGCCGGAUUAAUACCGCAUAAGCUCUGAGGAGGAAAGCGGGGGCUCCGUAAGGACCUCGCGCUGUUGGAGCGGCCGAUGUCGGAUUAGCUAGUUGGUGGGGAAGCCCACCAAGGCGACGAUCCGUAGCUGGUCUGAGAGGAUGA